rnacentral:rRNA from 1 species
GACGAAGGUGGCGAGCGUUACUCGGAAUUACUAGGCGUAAAGCGCGUGUAGGCGGCUCGGUAAGUCUGCUGUGAAAGUCCAGGGCUCAACCCUGGGAUGCCGGUGGAUACUGUCGAGCUCGAGUCCGGAAGAGGCGAGUGGAAUUCCUGGUGUAGCGGUGAAAUGCGCAGAUAUCAGGAGGAACACCAAUGGCGAAGGCAGCUCGCUGGGACGUGACUGACGCUGAGACGCGAAAGCGUGGGGAGCAAACAGG